rnacentral:misc_RNA from 1 species
GUCAUCCCUGGUUUAACUGGGUUACCAUAGUUACAUUUAGAUAUAUGAUAUCAUUUGCUACUUAACAAGGAAACAUGUAGGGCAUUGAAGUGGAGUAGCAUGAAAUUGUGGGUGUGAUUUAUGCAUACACACGAGUAUUAUAAGACAAGUGCUAACUGUGUAAUGGAAAGGGGCUGGCCUAUUUCCUCAGAAAUCUAGCAUCAGAACUUCUGUAGCUUUAUAAUUUCUUUGAGUAUUUUAAUGGUACCAGUAAAUUUUUAUUGAAAAUGAGCAUUACAUAAAGAAUUUACAUUCAAAGCUGGAUUGUGAAAAUGUUGACUGAUUAUUAUAUAUCAAAACUUUAAUGAGCUUUAAGAUAUAUUGAUAAGAUUUGUGUUAGUUAUUUACAGAUAUGUGUUGUUUUCUUAAAUAUUUUGAGUUUUUAGUGAAAGGGAAAGCAAUUUCAUAAUAUUUGUUCCAUUUUCACAGAGUUAACUGAAUGGGAAACUGAUCAAAGAUAAAUCUGUACAGCUUUAAGUGAAGUGACUGAUGCAUAAUAGACGGGAUUAUUUUGCAUGUUGGUGUAAGGCUUUUCUGUUUAAUUCUUACUGUCAGUGAAUUAUCCAAACCCACUGUUUAAUUUGACUUGGUUUUAAUAAAUAUGAUCCAAU